rfam:Magnetospirillum marisnigri strain SP-1 NODE_11_length_164792_cov_101.355_ID_3278, whole genome shotgun sequence.
GGGGCCAUAGCUCAGUUGGGAGAGCGCUUGAAUGGCAUUCAAGAGGUCGUCGGUUCGAUUCCGUCUGGCUCCA